rnacentral:tRNA from 3 species
UCUCCCGUGGACUAACGGUAGGUCAUCACCCUUUCAAGGUGAAGUGCGCGAGUUCGAAUCUCGUCGGGAGAA